CACUGGAACUUGUGGAGAAGUUGUACCCAGAAGCUGAGGAGAUAGCAGCUAGCGUCAGAGAUUUACCUGGCCUCAAAACACCAUUGGGCCGUGCCCGGGCGUGGUUACGAUUGGCAUUAAUGCAAAAAAAAAUGGCUGAUUAUCUACGCUGUUUAAUCAUUCAAAGAGAUCUCCUCAGUGAAUUUUAUGAAUAUCAUGCACUGAUGAUGGAAGAAGAAGGAGCAGUUAUUGUUGGGCUCUUGGUUGGGUUAAAUGUGAUAGAUGCUAACCUGUGUGUAAAGGGAGAAGACUUAGAUUCACAAGUUGGUGUGAUUGAUUUCUCUAUGUAUUUAAAGAAUGAAGAUGAUAUUGGGAGUAAAGAAAGAAAUGUCCAGAUUGCUGCAAUUUUGGACCAAAAGAAUUAUGUAGAGGAACUGAACAGACAACUAAAUAGCACAGUCAGCAGCCUUCAUACAAGAGUUGAUUCAUUAGAGAAGUCAAACACUAAACUAAUUGAAGAGUUAGCAAUAGCAAAAAACAAUAUAAUUAAACUUCAGGAAGAAAAUCAUCAGUUAAGAAGUGAAAACACACUUAUUUUAAUGAAAACACAGCAUCACCUAGAGGUAACCAAAGUGGAUGUUGAGGCAGAGCUUCAAACAUACAGACACUCCAGACAGGGUCUGGAUGAAAUGUACAAUGAAGCACGCAGACAACUUCGAGAAGAAUCACAAUUACGACAAGAUAUAGAGAAUGAGCUAAUGGUCCAAGUUAGUAUGAAACAUGAGAUAGAACUUGCAAUGAAGUUGUUGGAGAAAGACAUUCAUGAGAAACAAGACACCCUCAUAGGCCUUCGACAUCAGCUAGAUGAAGUUAAAGCAAUUAACAUAGAAAUGUACCAAAAGCUGCAGGUUUCUGAAGAUGCCAUGAAAGAAAAGAAUGAAAUAAUUGGUCGACUAGAGGAUAAGACCAAUCAAAUUACUGCAACUAUGAAACAAUUGGAACAAAGAUUGCAGCAAGCAGAGAAGUCUCAAGUGGAAGCUGAGAAGGAGGACAAGAAAUUCAAACAAGAAUGUAUGAGUAAAUCUGAAAACCUGCAGAAAGAAAUCUCCCGAAAGGAGAAGCAGCUUGUUCAACUGGAAACAGAUUUGAAGAUAGAAAAGGAAUGGAGACAAACCCUGGAAGAUGAUCUGCAAAAGGAAAAAGAAACUUUAUCUCAUCUGAGAGUAGAGACCCAACAAAUAAUUUGUCUUAAAAAAGAAUUCCUUAAACUACAGGACAAAAAUAGGCAGUUGAAAAAGAUAUGUCAUGACCAAGAAGAAGCUCUCCAAGAACUGGCCUGCAAGCUUAGCGAAUCAAAGCUUAAAAUAGAAGAUAUAAAAGAAGCAAACAAAGCAUUACAGGGACAGGUUUGGCUGAAAGACAAAGAAGCUACACACUGCAAGUUAUGUGAAAAGGAAUUUUCUCUUUCCAAAAGGAAGAACUUCAAAUUUGAUAAUUAGAAACUUCUUUGAAUCUAAUAGAGAAGUUUCUGUUCUGAUCUUACCUAAGGUAGAGUGGAUAUCUUGAGUUGUGUGAAAACAGAGUCCAUUCUGGGAGCAAAAUAAAGAGGUUUCAGAGCCAUGUAAAUGAAUAGGAAAGUUCACAUCUCAAAGUUGUUUCAGGCUGUGCAAAAGUAGGCAGAUAUCACUACAUCAGUUACACUUGUGUUGCAUUUUCAAGUUCUUUGCAACUGUAAGUGUUAGAAUAUUUAUUAAAGAUGUGUAAUUGUAUGGUAAAGUCUGCAGUCAUGGACAAUAUGGGGCCACAAAGCUGUUCUGCUCCUUGGUGAGAGGGGAAAAUUCUCCCUUCCCAUCACCUCUCAAACCUGCAGAACUCAGGCUGUGUGAGUGAGAGGGUUUGAGUCAGCGUGACAUGACAUGAUACAUCCUGCCCUUUUUAAAAAUGGAUAUUGCAUGGCAACUGUCUGCUACUAGAUCACGUGUACCUAUUCCUGUAGUGGUUGAUAUCAGUUAAAUAACAAUACACCGAGCAAUUAUUACAUGGGAUAACAUCUCUAUAAGUUGCAUUUAGCAUACACCUCACCUGAACUCUGCUCACCUAUUUCUACUGGGACGACUAACAAUCCAAACUUUUGACCAGUUUGAAAAAAACAAAACAAAUGAAAACCCACUCUGUCAGAAUAAAGCUUCUUUCUUCCAUAUGAAUGCCCCAAUCCUGCAAUAAGCUUUGCACACUGAGUUCAUUGUGGGAUUGGGCUCCAACUGCAGAAUUUACUCCUAAAUCUGCACUUCUUUUGUGUUAAUCCUAUCAAAUAGGGUCCUGUUCUCCAAGUCCUCUCCCUCCAAAGAGCUCAGUUCAAUGCCAUAUCCUUUAUCACACCACAUACUGGCAUGUCUUCCUUUAUGACUUCCCAGCACUUCUUGGGUCAGCCUCUCUUUUUCCCUUGAUCUCUUGGACUCUCAUAGUUGUCAGGACUGCACUUUACAUGGCCAAGCCUUCACCCCCUCUUUUUUUUUUAAUCUAUCAGUGUUACUAUGAACAUGUCUCUUAACAAGACAUUCCCCACCAGGUCUUUCUUGUUUACACCACUCAUCCAUCUCAAGAUUUGCAUUUCUGUGGAACAGUGCUGUUGCUCAACACUCAAGUGUCAUACACUAAAACUGGAUGAACCACUGUUUUCUAGACUUCUCUUUUAAGCUUACUGGUAACUUCCUAUCUCUUUCCAUUUGACCCAGGCAUUUGUUAUUCUAGCUCUAAUUUUGUUCUUCUUUCCCCCAAAUCUGCACUGGCCAGUGGAAACCCGAAGAGUUAUCAGCCCAAUUAUUUCCUUUAUCCACAGGCUUGGAUUGCUCCUAUUAUAGGAGCAAGAUGGUUUUGAAAUAAUUCCAUUUUUUGACUCAGCUUCAUAAAUCAUUCUUGCACAUAAAAAGCUUAGCUGUAGCUUUUGAGAGUAGUCAUGCAAUUAAUGUUCUACUGAUCAUGCCAAGAAUUUAAUUGUAAUUGCUUAUGUAGCUUUUGUAAAGAAUUUUUUUUAAGAUUUUGAGAGUUUUGUAAAUUAAAAUAAUGCAAAUGUUUGUAAACAUGUAAUUUGUUUGAAGAAAUAAAAUGACAUAACCAAA